rnacentral:rRNA from 1 species
CAGUAGCCGCGGGAAUACGUAGGGUGCAAGCGUUAAUCGGAAUUACUGGGCGUAAAGCGUGCGUAGGCGGCUUCUUAAGUCGGAUGUGAAAUCCCUGAGCUUAACUUAGGAAUUGCAUUCGAUACUGGGAAGCUAGAGUAUGGGAGAGGAUGGUAGAAUUCCAGGUGUAGCGGUGAAAUGCGUAGAGAUCUGGAGGAAUACCGAUGGCGAAGGCAGCCAUCUGGCCUAAUACUGACGCUGAGGUACGAAAGCAUGGGGAGCAAACAGGAUUAGAUACCCCCGUUGUCCCUGUCUCUUAUAU